rnacentral:lncRNA from 1 species
UUUAUAAAGGCUUUAUCUUGUUGGCAGUUAAUACCCUUUGCAUUGCACCUUCCUUUGGAAGAUAGACUCCCCUUCUACAGUGUGAGGGACUCGGAGGAUGCCAGCUGGGCCUGCACACCUUCCUCUAGGUGUGCUGCUCUUAUCUACGUCUUGGCUGAAUGGAUUCAGCCUUUGGUUUUUGAACAUUUGAAAUUAAGUUCUAAUAACUUGAGUGUACUUAUCUAAUAAAGUUAUAAUACUUAAAGGAAAAGUAUUAAAAUGCCAAAACACUUUUUUAUGUUUUUGAAUGUGUAACAUUUAAAACUGCCUACCAAAUUUAUGAAUGUCUUACUAGAAACACAUUAUGUUAUCCAUCUGUUUCUUUUGAGAUGCUCACGUGUCAAAUAAUAUAUUGUUAACUUGUGCAGACUCUCAACCAAUCCUUGAUGUAUGUAUUCUUUGAAAUCUUUAUUUAAGGCCCUAUAAGGAAUGUUUUAUUUUUAAGCAAAUGUUUUGUCCAUAGUACUGUUUUUAAAUGGCGAUAUUAUGCUUUUAUGUAUUUGUUAUGUUGAUGGUGUAGGCUUUCAGUUUUGUUCUCAAUAAUGCUACAGGAGCAUUUCUGUACGUGUUCACUAAUAUACUCACACACAAGCACAUGUUAAAUAUAUCCAAAUGCAAUAUUUUGGCCAUAAAGAUACUUGUUUGGAACAUUUUUAUGAUAACUCCAAAUUGCUUUUACUUUAAAAUGUUCACAUAUGUAUUUGCAAAUAUGCAUGUACAUUUCACUUGUACAUGGUGCAUAUGUAUGUAAAUUUCAUAAUUAACAUUGUAAUAAAUACUUUAUACCCAGUUAUAUUCACUUUUUCCUUUUUAAUAUUAUUUACCAACAGUUACAAAAUCACUGAUUGAAAGUAUAGGGUUUUUUUAGUCCACUUACCUUACCUUUAUAUUUUUUUCUUGAAUUCUACUUCAGAUUGAAAGCUAAAGAAUACAAAGAAAUUAGGGAACCAGUGAGAAAACACAAGCAGCAAUCCUUGAAACCUGACAAUGGUGGAAGAAGGCAGAAUUCAUUUCUUAGUACCUUAAAAUAUUUAGCAAACUGGAUAUUAUUUAAAAUAAAGCCUUUAUGUUCAUUAUUACUAUUUAUGCUCUUAAUAUGUGUGUCUGGGCUUUGGUUGGAUUUUUUUUUGUAAUUUAUUAAUCUUCACAAUUUAAAUAAAGGUAGAUUCCCAGUAAUAGCACUCAUUUCAUCAAAUUUCCCUUCUAAGGAGAUGCUAAAAAUACAUUAAACUCAAGUAGAUCAACUUAAUCUUGUAUAUUAUGCCAGUGGAGGAAAUUCAGCAUGUACUGGUGUAAAUUCUGUUUCAUUUAGUACUGCCUAGUAGUCAGAGUGUUAGCAGUGCUGCCUAUUUCUGUUAUAUCUAGAAGUAGCCCCCUGUGACCGUGCUGUAUCAGCUCAAAGACUCCAUCCUCAAGUCAGAGAAUCUGCUCCCGUUUCUACCACUUUAACCUCCACCCCACAGACAGCUCAGCAGUUUAACCCCAAGCCUGAGUUCUUUUUACUCAUGGAGUGGUCCAGUUCUCUGGUUUCCCUGCACUCUCAACCUACAGUUAUAAAAUCUGACAUUUCAUAAGUGUUUAGCUGUUUACUUCCUUACUAAAUUUAGAAUGUUAGCAUUUACUGCUAUCAUUAUCCUAACUUGGCUAAAUUCGUUCCGUGGUAGGAUUUUUAUGCUUAUAUUUUUAGAUAACAAAUUGGAGAAGUAAUAUUGUCUGUCUUUUGAACCUAAAGCUUUUCUUCAAAAUUCUCAGAAAAUUAAAAUUUAAGUGAAAACUUUUAGGACUAUGGAUGUAGCUCAAUGAUAGAUGCUUAGGAAUGUGUGUGGAAGACUCUGGGAUACACAUUCAGCACCUGUCAAGUAAACAAAGGAGAGAUUUUGUUUUGAUUCCCUGAGUAUUGCAGUUUAUACUAACUCCGCCGAACAGAACGGUAUGUGACAUAGUUUGACUUUCACUCCUAUGUUUUGAUUCUGAUGGUAGUCCACAGAGCAUUUAAGGCAUGAAUUAUGUAUUGUUGCCAGUUUGCAUCCAAAACUCUUUAAAGCUAAACGAGUGUAUCAUUUGUCUGUAAUUACCUAGUAAGUUUCGGACACACUUAAGUUCAAAUGAUUUGAAGGUAUUUCCAGUAAUCAUUUGUUGUGGUAAGCCUUAUUAUGCACUUUUGGAUCUACAUCUCCAAAAAGAACACACUGUGUCCAAGCUUGGCAGCACAUGCCUUUCAUCCCAGCACUCAGCAAGCAGAGCAGGUCUCUGAGUUUCAAACCAGCCUGGUCUGCAGAGUUCUAGGAUAGCUAGGGCUGUUACAAAGAGAAACCCUGCCUUGGGAGUUGGGGGUGAG